UUCGAUGGAUGUUUAAGUAUUGCACUUUGUCAUUUGUUGUGAAGGUUUUAAUCUCGUGAGUUAUCGUAAAGUUGGAUUCAAGUUACUAACCAAGUUUUCGUGUGCAUUGAUAUUUUAAAUUAGGAUACAAGGCUAAUCAGUAGGCUAUAACUCUGCCCGUAUAAAUCUUUCUCUUUUCUCACAGUUUGUGAGUCAUUCUCUUUUUACCAAACUUGUUUUCAAAAUCAUGAUUGUUUUCGAAGUUAUAAUUACAAGGAUUAAGUCUUUGUAUUCUUCAAUUAGAGCCGGUAUGUGGGGUUUUGUAUACAUUACUUGAUAACCGUCACCAUUGGACAACGGGUUAGCCAAGGGGUGAUAUGACCAUAGUCACAGACACCAUUGGACAACGAGAUAGCCAAUAGGUGGUCUAGUGACAAAUACCGUGGGUAUAUGGUUGAUAUAUAUAAACAGUGUAAUCGCUCUUAAUACUGUAAAUUAUAACAAUGCGUCGUUUUAGAAAAAAAAAAUGAUUCACCAGUAUUUCCUGCUGACAAAACUUUUUUAAAACGCAUUUCAGGUAAUUACAGUAGAUCGGAAUAAGAGCUGGAUACGGCACCAAAAAGGCUUAUAGAAGUUGCUUGAUUUAUCAAGUAAAUAAAAUUAAGAAAAGUUGUUUUAUGUAAUCGGGUUUAUCCCAUAUUAAAAGCUACCUUUAUGAAAUGUGGGUUUAUCCCCAUCUGUGUAAAUAAAUAAAAUCCGGUGUUUCUAAAACUCUGAUAUUUUUCCUAACUCACGGUCCUGAUGAAAUUUCCGCUGCAAUGUUUCUAAAAUAACCACCGGUACCACUUGGCUGCUCGUGGCUCCCGAUUCCGUCCAGGGUGGGGUCGGGGGUCGUGACAGAAGGUGGUAUCAGAGCCACUGAUUUAAGCCUAUAGGUGUUGUGCUAUUAAUACCUAAGCAUAUAUAAAAGAGUUAGGAAAUUGCUAUUAACUGGUAGCACACAUGAUAGCAUUUAGACUUGAACUUAAGAAAAGAUGCCUUAGUAUAAGCUUCGAGAUAAGCUAAAUACUUAUGUAAAUAAAGUGUGAUGGGUUUUGGUAUGCCGUGAGGAUGAUAACUAGAACGUUGUAAGUAUAAUAAAUAAACAAUAACACUUGACCACUGUUAUUUCUUAUUUAUUGGUACUACUUUGUUCUAGAAUAUGAUCCGUCAUAUGAAUACUAAUUUGCUUAGUCUUUGUUGAAAGUCAUAAUGCACUUUCCAAAUCAUGAUUUAAGAAAGAUCUAUUAAUGGGAAAAAUGAAUUUCUUCUCCGGCAAGACUGAGUAUGGUGUAGCAGACUCUCCAGCUUGUCCAGAUAUACUGGGGUUACCUCUCCGGCUAGAACCGGGUAAGCAGAAAUAAGAAUCUGUUAAAUACAUGGACCUUAUGAAGGGUAUGUAUAUUACAGCAUGUGAAAUAUAUGAUUAUAUAGAUAUGUAU
rnacentral:lncRNA from 1 species